AUACGUUUCUUGGCCCUUUGGCCUAGAUCAAGUGUGGUAUCUGUUCUUAUCAGUUUAAUAUCUGAUGCAUGGGCCAUCAGCUCACAUGAUAUUAAAUUAAUUUCUUAUGGGGAAGGGCCCACUACGGUAGCUUGUUACUACCCUCAAGUGUUGCCCUCGUUUUGCACUGCUGCAUGGGCAUGUGCAGCCUUA